rnacentral:rRNA from 1 species
AACGAACGCUGGCGGCAUGCCUAACACAUGCAAGUCGAACGAGACCUCCGGGUCUAGUGGCGCACGGUUGCGUAACGCGUGGGAACCUGCCCUUAGGUUCGGAAUAACUCCCCGAAAGGGGUGCUAAUACCGGAUAAUGUCUUCGGACCAAAGAUUUAUCGCCUUUGGAUGGGCCCGCGUUGGAUUAGCUAGUUGGUAGGGUAAAAGCCUACCAAGGCGACGAUCCAUAGCUGGUCUGAGAGGAUGAUCAGCCACACUGGGACUGAGACACGGCCCAGACUCCUACGGGAGGCAGCAGUGGGGAAUAUUGGACAAUGGGCGAAAGCCUGAUCCAGCAAUGCCGCGUGAGUGAUGAAGGCCUUAGGGUUGUAAAGCUCUUUUACACGGGAUGAUAAUGACAGUACCGGGAGAAUAAGCUCCGGCUAACUCCGUG